CCUUCGGGUGUAAACCGCUUUUGCAGGGAGAAAUCUCCCGAGCUAAUACCUUGGGAGGAUGACGGUACCUGAAGAAUAAGCACCGGCUAACUACGUGCCAGCAGCCGCGGUAAUACGUAGGGUGCAAGCGUUAAUCGGAAUUACUGGGCGUAAAGCGUGCGCAGGCGGUUAUGCAAGACAGAUGUGAAAUCCCCGGGCUUAACCUGGGAACUGCAUUUGUGACUGCAUAGCUGGAGUACGGUAGAGGGGGAUGGAAUUCCGCGUGUAGCAGUGAAAUGCGUAGAUAUGCGGAGGAACACCGAUGGCGAAGGCAGUCCCCUGGACCUGUACUGACGCUCAUGCACGAAAGCGUGGGGAGCAAACAGGAUUAGAUACCCUGGUAGUCCACGCCCUAAACGAUGUCAACUGGUUGUUGGGAGGGUUUCUUCUCAGUAACGUAGCUAACGCGCGAAGUUGACCGCCGUGGGGAGUACGGCCGCAAGGUUG
rnacentral:rRNA from 1 species